rnacentral:rRNA from 1 species
GACGAACGCUGGCGGCGUGCUUAACACAUGCAAGUCGAACGGAAAGGCCCUGCUUUUGUGGGGUGCUCGAGUGGCGAACGGGUGAGUAACACGUGAGUAACCUGCCCUUGACUUUGGGAUAACUUCAGGAAACUGGGGCUAAUACCGGAUAGGAGCUCCUGCUGCAUGGUGGGGGUUGGAAAGUUUCGGCGGUUGGGGAUGGACUCGCGGCUUAUCAGCUUGUUGGUGGGGUAGUGGCUUACCAAGGCUUUGACGGGUAGCCGGCCUGAGAGGGUGACCGGCCACAUUGGGACGGAGAUACGGCCCAGACUCCUACGGGAGGCAGAAGUGGGGAAUAUUGCACAAUGGGCGGAAGCCUGAGGCAGCAACGCCGCGUGCGGGAUGACGGCCUUCGGGUUGUAAACCGCUUUCGCCUGUGACGAAGCGUGAGUGACGGUAAUGGGUAAAGAAGCACCGGCUAACUACGU